rnacentral:rRNA from 1 species
GAGCAAACAGGAUUAGAUACCCUGGUAGUCCACGCCCUAAACGAUGUCAACUAGCUGUUGGGGCCGUUAGGCCUUAGUAGCGCAGCUAACGCGUGAAGUUGACCGCCUGGGGAGUACGGUCGCAAGAUUAAAACUCAAAGGAAUUGACGGGGACCCGCACAAGCGGUGGAUGAUGUGGAUUAAUUCGAUGCAACGCGAAAAACCUUACCUACCCUUGACAUGUCUGGAAUGCCGAAGAGAUUUGGCAGUGCUCGCAAGAGAACCGGAACACAGGUGCUGCAUGGCUGUCGUCAGCUCGUGUCGUGAGAUGUUGGGUUAAGUCCCGCAACGAGCGCAACCCUUGUCAUUAGUUGCUACGCAAGAGCACUCUAAUGAGACUGCCGGUGACAAACCGGAGGAAGGUGGGGAUGACGUCAAGUCCUCAUGGCCCUUAUGGGUAGGGCUUCACACGUCAUACAAUGGUCGGGACAGAGGGUCGCCAACCCGCGAGGGGGAGCCAAUCUCAGAAACCCGAUCGUAGUCCGGAUCGCAGUCUGCAACUCGACUGCGUGAAGUCGGAAUCGCUAGUAAUCGCGGAUCAGAAUGUCGCGGUGAAUACGUUCCCGGGUCUUGUACACACCGCCCGUCACACCAUGGGAGUGGGUUUCACCAGAAGUAGGUAGCCUAACCGUAAGGAGGGCGCUUACCACGGUGGGAUUCAUGACUGGGGUGAAGUCGUAACAAGGUAACCG